rnacentral:rRNA from 1 species
CGUGUAGGCGGUUGAGUAAGUGGAAUGUGAAAUCCCUCGGCUUACCCGAGGACCUGCAUCCCAUACUGCUCGACUUGAGUACGGGAGAGGAUGAGGGAAUUCCUGGUGUAGCGGUGAAAUGCGUAGAUAUCAGGAGGAACACCGGUGGCGAAGGCGCUCAUCUGGCCCGAUACUGACGCUGAGGCGCGAAAGCUAGGGUAGCGAACG